AGGGGUCAUAUGAUGAUUUAAAAUGCAUAGUUCAGAUGAUUUAUCUGUGAUUAUUAAUUUUUAUAGUCUUUCACUCCUAUCUGAUGAUCCCU
rfam:Lupinus angustifolius cultivar Tanjil chromosome LG03, whole genome shotgun sequence.